AACCUUCCAUUAGCUCUUUCCCUUCCUAAAACUCUUGCUCCUCCGAAAAGGAGCAAAACCGCGCCGCCCGCCGGGUGUCGAACACCUGGUGAGCGGGGGUUGCGCCGCCGCCGCAGGGCCUCUCGGCCGAUGUGGGUGGCGGGGUGUGGAGAGGAGGUGCUCGCACUGCUGUUACCGCCAUUGGAGGGAGCCGGGAGCCGUUGGACGAAGAGGGCCGGGCGUCGAACACCUUCAAGCCUCGCCGACCGCCGUCUGCCCCUAUUUCGGCCGCACCGCGCCGCACGCCGUCGAACUCCGCCGUUCCACCACUCCGUGAUUCCGAGGGAGUAGCUGAGUUGACUGAGGAGCAGGGACAGCAAGACUGUGAUCCAGUGGAUGGCAAUGAAGUCGAGGAGGAUCCCUAUGCUUAUCUUCAGGAGGAUGCGGAGGAUGACGGCGCCCCGUAGAUGUUAGUUACGGUCGUUGCCUGUGGCAAUGGCAAGGCCGCUGCUUAAAUUCCGCUGCCUUAUCUAUUUCUGCUUUUGCAUGUAUUCCAGACCGUUCGGGCCUAUGUUCUGGUCUAUGCAUGCGGGCCUAUGAUGUAAUAAUUCGCGCUAGACAAUCUUUGUAUGUGCACUUGAUAUUUCAGCAAUGUAAUCGUGAGUACCAGACUAUUUGAUCC
rnacentral:sRNA from 1 species